rnacentral:misc_RNA from 1 species
AAAUAACAUUCGUGAUUUUUUUCGCGGAUUUGAGUUUUCCAGUAUUUAUAAAUAAAUGCUGGUAACUUUAAAAUUAUUAUAACUUGGUACAAGUUGAAAACGUGCUAUAUGUGUGGUUCGCUGACAACUUGUCCAUCUUUAUAUAUUAUGCGCGUGCUUGGUUUUUUUAAAGCUGUGUGCGAGUAUAUAUUUUUUU